AGGACGAACGCUGGCGGCGUGCUUAACACAUGCAGGUCGAGCGGUAAGGCCUUUCGGGGUACGCGAGCGGCGAACGGGUGAGUAACACGUGGGUGAUCUGCCCUGCACUCUGGGAUAAGCCUGGGAAACUGGGUCUAAUACCGGAUAUGACCUGCUCUCGCAGUGGGGGGUGGGUGGAAAGAUUUAUCGGUGCAGGAUGGGCCCGCGGCCUAUCAGCUUGUUGGUGGGGUAAUGGCCUACCAAGGCGACGACGGGUAGCCGACCUGAGAGGGUGACCGGCCACACUGGGACUGAGACACGGCCCAGACUCCUACGGGAGGCAGCAGUGGGAAUAUGCACAAUGGGCGAAAGCCUGAUGCAGCGACGCCGCGUGAGGAUGAAGGCC
rnacentral:rRNA from 1 species